rnacentral:rRNA from 1 species
AUGGUGUUACGGAAGCCGAGGAACCCAUGCUCCUUGCUCUUGUUCAUGUUGUCCAAAUGCUCAAUGUCGAUACUGAGCAUGGCAUCGACAAACCACCAACUGGUGAUCUCCUCGAGCUCCGUGGUGACAAGCUCGUUCUCCUGGAUGAUCUCCGUCCACACCGCCUCCUUCCCAGCCAUGGCAUCCGCGAGCGCAAACCGGCUGUCCUCUCCCUCAUACCCUGCCCACUCCACCCCGAAGCGGUCGGCCAGCAGCGGCCAGAGUUGCUUCCACUUGAACACAUCCCCAUUGCUGCAAUUGAAAGCCUCGUUCUUGGCAAACGGGUCGACGGCCGCCCAGAUCUCAUGCUCAGCGACAAGGUCGGCGUCGGAGGCGUCGGUGAAGCCCUCCCAGGCGACCUUGCAGCCGGGCCACCGCAGCGUGGCGCCCUCCUUGCGGCAGAUGGCGGCGUAUACGCACAGGCUGCCGACCACGUUCAUGGCGCUGCGGGGGGAGAAGCCGAAGAUGACGGUGGGGCGGUGCACGGACCAGGUGACGGCGCCGUCGCGGCCGGAGACGUGGUCGAAGAGGACGUCCUCCAGGUCGUAG